rnacentral:rRNA from 1 species
AACGAACGCUGGCGGCAUGCCUAACACAUGCAAGUCGAACGAGAACAUCGGGUCUCGUGGCGCACGGGUGCGUAGCGCGUGGGAACCUGCCCUUAGGUUCGGAAUAACUCCCCGAAAGGGGUGCUAAAACGGGAUAAUUUCUUCGGACCGAAGAUUUAUCGCCGUUGGAUGGGCCCGAGUUGGAUUAGCCUGUUGGUAGGGUAAAAGCAUACCAAGGCGACGAGUCAUAGCUGGUCUGUGAGGAUGAGCAGCCACACCGGGACUGGGACACGGUCGAGACUACUACGCGAGGCAGGAGUGGGUAAUAUUGGACAAUGGGGUAUAGGCUGAUGCAGCUAUGCCGGUUGAGUGAUGAAGGCGGGAGGGUAGGAAAGCUAUUUUAUCCGGUAGCACAAUGACAGUACCGGGAGAAUAAGCUCCGGCUAACUCCGUG